ACGAGUUUGAUCCUGGCUCAGGACAAACGCUGGCGGCGUGCCUAAUACAUGCAAGUCGAGCGGACCAAAGGGAGCUUGCUCCUGGAGGUUAGCGGCGAACGGGUGAGUAACACGUGGGCAACCUGCCUGUAAGACUGGGAUAACAUCGAGAAAUCGGUGCUAAUACCGGAUAAUAAAAAGAACUGCAUGGUUCUUUUUUGAAAGAUGGUUUCGGCUAUCACUUACAGAUGGGCCCGCGGCGCAUUAGCUAGUUGGUGAGGUAACGGCUCACCAAGGCAACGAUGCGUAGCCGACCUGAGAGGGUGAUCGGCCACACUGGGACUGAGACACGGCCCAGACUCCUACGGGAGGCAGCAGUAGGGAAUCUUCCGCAAUGGACGAAAGUCUGACGGAGCAACGCCGCGUGAGUGAUGAAGGUUUUCGGAUCGUAAAACUCUGUUGUUAGGGAAGAACAAGUGCCGUUCGAAAGGGCGGCACCUUGACGGUACCUAACGAGAAAGCCACGGCUAACUACGUG
rnacentral:rRNA from 1 species